rnacentral:lncRNA from 1 species
GAAGGACCUGCGCUGGGAAGGUGCAAAGGUCAAUGGUGGGAGCCAGAGAGUCUGCACCAGCAGGUUGAAGGAUCUGUGCCAGCAGGCUGAGGGAUCUGCACUGGAGCCAGGAAGCAACGCUCAAGGACCGAAGGCCUUGUGGAAACCAGGUGAGAGUUCUGCCCCUGAGCCACAUGCCCAGCCCCUUAAAAACAGAAAAGAAAAGAAAAGAAAAAUACCCUUGGGACUGCUAGGAACUGCAGGUGCGCAAGGGCCCUGGUCUCGAGUUGCUCUUGGAUGGCGCUUCUCUGGGUGCUGAGGGUGCUCCAAUACCUGGUUGAAGGCUAGGACUGUCUCUCCCUGUCCCUAGGGCUGGGAGAAGCAGGGGGCAGGUCAGGGGCAGGCUGGGGCAGGACAGCCCUUGGGUCCACUCAGGCAUACAGAGAGUGAGGGGUGCCCAGGGGAUGGCCUGAUGGGAGAAGAGCAGGUCUGAACUAGGUCCAGGAACACGGGGACAGAGAAGAGGGGGCCCCACAGAGAAAAGAGGCAGUGAGACAGGUUUGGGGACCAA